CGAACUCCGCUCUGAAUCGUUCUUUCAUUGGCAAUUGUUAACCGUUGCUUACAGUAAUACAUUAAAUUUUCUACCUUCCCAACUUAUCGCCUACCUUAGUGGUUGCACCCGUGCCCAUUAUUCAAGGAAGUAUACAUUUAAAAUUAUGUAAGAUGGCAUUUUAGCAAUUAUUAUAAUGAAAUAAAAAUGUAUAUGUUUUAAUUUACGAGCGUUUUUCCCCCAGUUUUACGAGCUAGUCAACACUAUGUCUCCCUGUCAAAAAUUGAAUUGACGCCACUAGUUUUAAUUCUGUUUAAAUUAUAAAAUAUUUGUAAUGAGUUGAACUUUUCACUGAAUACUUAUAUAGGUAGUUAUAUAUUAGACUUUUCUAGACGUGUUAAGUUUUCAAAACAUUCUAGCGAUUUUUGAC